GGUAUAUGCUUGUCUCAAAGACUAAGCCGUGCAAGUCUAAGUAUAAGUUAUUCUGAAGACGAAACUGCGAAUGGCUCGGUAAAACAGCAAUAAUUUCUUCGGUGAUGAGUUUACUCACGGAUAACCGUAGUAAUUCUAGAGCUAAUACGUGCUGAGAAAAGGUGGGGCUCACGCUCCAUCGUGCCGUUUAGAUAACAACACCAACAUUUGGUGAUUCAUAAUCGUCUUUCUGAUCGCCUCGUGCGACGCACCGUUCAAAUUUCUGACCUAUCAACUUUCGAUGGUAAGGUAGUGUCUUACCAUGGUGGCAACGGGUAACGGACCGUGGGUGCGGGACUCCGGAGAGGGAGCCUGAGAAACGGCUACCACAUCCAAGGAAGGCAGCAGGCGCGCAACUUGCCCAAUCCAGACUCUGGGAGGCAGUGACAAGAAAUAUCAAUAGGGGAUCCUAUGGGUCUUCUAAUUGGAAUGAGAACAAGCUAAACAGCUUAUCGAGAAUCCAGCAGAGGGCAAGUCUGGUGCCAGCAGCCGCGGUAAUUCCAGCUCUGUAAGCGUAUACCAAAGUUGUUGCAGUUAAAACGCUCGUAGUCGGAAUUUGGCAGUUCCGGAAGUGUGCACGUCGUGUGCGCACUUUGCAGGGACUGCUUUUGUGGUCUUGCGUAGGAUGAGGCACUUUUAUUAGUGAACGUCCUCACGCAACCACUCUUUACUGUGAGAAAAUCAGAGUGCUCAAAGCAGCAUUUGCCGUGAAUGUAUUAGCAUGGAAUAAUAGAUAGGACUCGGUUCUAUUUUGUGGUUUGUUGGGACUGAGUAAUGAUUAAGAGG
rnacentral:rRNA from 1 species